ensembl:lncRNA
AUGAUAGACCAUCCAGGUGUAGAACCGGUUUGUCUAAAUGUGUUCUCGCUGCAGAACGCAUUCAACAUUUACAGAGCUGACGACGGUCCUUUGCGACUACGGGGGAUAGAGCAUCGUUACAGGUAUUUAGCCUAUAUACAUUUUGUGAGCUGGUGCUGGUGCUGUUAUCCCAUCAUGCGUUGUUCUUCGUAUACACCGGGAGUUUCCUGACGCCCAUGGAAGAUACGGAGGCUUCAAACCACCCUCCCUUGAUUGAAUCUGGAGACGUAGCUGGCGAUGACCUCCUCCUUGUCUGGAUGCUCAUAUUCUGAAGACAGUUCCGGCGGGAUGUUUAUCUUCAGAAUCUCUGCUCUGUACGAUGCUGGGUCAACAAAGACCUUCUCCAUGAUCAUGUCCAUCAAAUCAUUCACAUACUCUGUGCAAUACACACAAAAGGGAAUCACUAGUUACUAAAUAAUUCAACAACUGUUCAUGCAUUGACAUUUUGCACUUUGAAUAAUUUGUAUAUUUUCAGGUAUUUAUGUGCAUUUAUUUGUUUAUUUUAUUGUGUUGGAGUUUGUCUCAUGUACUUUGUCUCAUGUUCAAUAUAAAUGUUUAUUUUCUGAGUAAAAUAAAAAGUUGACACUUACGGAAUGUCGCCUCAGUCUUCACUGGUUUGACUCUGCACUCUCCCUUCCUGGCCUUAGGAAAGGUCAGUCUGAACAUAAGAUCCCCUAAUGACGUAAUGGCUUGUCCUCUAUCAGAAUUCUCAUUGUAAUGCAGUGCAGCCAGGUAGAGUCUAUGACAUUAAAAAGAAAAAUCAAUCAUGAAAAUAAUUGCAAGAAAUGGGAAAAUGUUCACAACAAGUAAUCUCAGCUUAAUUUACCUGCACAGCAUUCCUAGAAAUGGAUAGACCACAUUUUUAGGAGCGAACCGCAGGAUCACGGCGUGGAAUGCCUCCAAAGAGGACGUCUGGAGGUGGGGACUGAGCUUUGCUAUAUCCCUCAGGCAGUGGUGGGUAGAGUGAAAAUCUAUACUCAAGUAAAAGUAAAAUUACUUCCUUCAAAAUCUACUUUAGUAAAAGUAAAUAUUCCAAUUGGAAAACCUACUUGAGUAAGAGUAAAAAAGUGCUUUGUUUUAAAGCUACUCAAAUUACAAGUUACUUUACAUUUUUGUAUUGGAGUGCUUAGAUCAAUGAAAAAGACAUAACGUGUUAGAAUGCGUGAGUGAGUGAGGGAGAGAAAGAGAUGCACUCCUAAAACAUUUCUUCACAAGUUGUACAAUAAAAGCAAUAUGCACAACAAAAAAUGUAAUAUCAUUUCAAACAAAUUUGCAUUAAGCUCUGUGCAUGUGACAAAAGGCAAGAGCUUUGUAGGAACACAACCAAUUAAACACAAACGAGACUGACUUGGUUGGCUGAUUGGGCAAUCAGAUUUAUCCAGCCUACGCACAUAGCAUGCACGCACACUCACAGAGCCAGACACGACAAUGACGAACAAGUAGUGAGUGGUGUGCAGAAUACAGUGUAACAUAGUAUCUUUAGAUUUAUAUAAACUAUACGGGGACCGUAACUCCGCACCCCCUGGCGAAAAUAUCUUCCUGCGCGUCUGCAGCCAUGCGUUUCUAGUCCUCGGUCCCAACGUAACGGUCGACUUGUCUCCUCGGCUAUGGAAUUGCAACAAUGUUGCAACCUAGGGAGGGUGCGUCGCUAAAGUGUACGCUUGUAUUAGUCAACGAAGAUAAUGUCUUGAUCAAAAUACUCAUUUUAAUGAAGGCACAAUGGAAAAUGUAAUUGAGUAAAGAGUAGAAUUCUAAAUCAAAUAUUUACUUGAGUAAGAGUAAAAUUACAGACUUAAAAACGAAACCUGAAAAGUACUCGUUACCCGAAAAAUCUACUUUUUUACUCAUUUGCGUUACUUGUAAUCCGUUUCUACCCACCACUGCCCUCAGGACUGUCUUCUUGGUCAGCUCCUUCUCCAGUUUGUAGAAUGCAGGAGUUGCUGAAAGACAAAAAUAUCAUACAUUAUAUCCUACUUAUUGGUAAGUAUCCAAAUUAUUGGUUGUGCCAAAGUCCUUGAAGGACACAGUAGCCUGGACAGCUGUAACAAAAAGUAUACAUUUAUGAUAGCAGGGCAUUCUUAGGCAUAAAACAUGACUGCACUGUUACAGUAUAAACACUACCAACCUUCACUUCUGUAAUGUGAACGAAGAGUCUUCAAAGAGAGUUGUGUGCCAACAUGGUGUCUCUGAGGUGGCUCAGUAUUGCAGCCAAUAUCCCUUGUAGCAGGUAACUCCGAUGAUGCAUGAUGCUCUGAGGCCUAUUGGAAAAAAACAUGUCAACCUUAUCUUGAAUGUAUGUGUCUGUAUCAAGCAUAACUAUAAUAUACAAAUUAUAUUCACAGUGUAUAUAUAAUUACUAUUCACAUUAAAAUGAAUUGUAUACAUUCUCCCUGUGCCUUUAGAUACCUCCCUUCCUCUCUCUGGAUGGGAGCUUCAUUGGUAUUUGAAUUGCCAUUGUAGCCACGAAAUCUGAUACUCAGGCCAUGUCUAUCGAAUGACUUCUUUGUUAUGUAGAUUCCGUUAACUGUCUUGCAGUCUCAACGAUGGUCACUCCAACUCCCCUAUGUUACAUUUGGAUUAACUACCCACAUUGCGAACGUUUCCCCAUAAAAAUCUCGUUUACCCAUUGUCUCACUGAAUGUAUCCUUGGUAGCUUUGCAGCAUGUGCUCUCCCUAGCCUUUCAUCGUUUUCAAUAGAAAAACUCACGCCACAACACGUGGAUCAGUUCAUGCCAAUCUACUAAAGAAACACACAGCUAAUUAUUUGUAUACUUACAUGUCCCUCGUCUGCAGGUAUUCCACGCAAAGUUGGAAGGGACCCCUCGUAGAGAUAAAGUUUCACAGCUAAUCCUUCCGUGUAUUGACCGAAGUUGGAGAAACAGUCAUAAAGUGGUUAUAGCGCAGACCAACAGGUUUUUGCCAACUGUAGCCGGGACUUCGCCAUCAAGAAUGAAACCAAUCCACGUCGCUCUUUCGUCCUCUGGGAAACGAUGGAGGGAUUUGUGGACGUCCAUACAGCCAACAACAGAACACCUCUUGUGAAUCCUCAACAUGAUGAAUUUCAAACAUGCAACAAUAGGCCGUAUCUUACUUAUACUCUGAUUGAAGGGGGGUGGGGAAGUGGGAGGUCAUAUUCAAAUGAGCGCCCCUUCCUACGUAGGAACGGGCGCUGAAACUGACUCGCUCGUGUGGUAGCUUGAGGCGGGCUGCUUCCAGAAAUGCGUAUCUUACUCAAAAAAUCAUGUACAGACAUUUUUCAAAGUUUGUAUGCGUGUGGGAGCACCAUAUACCCACAACAACACCCCAAAUCCCAGGAAAAGAGCUGUUUUCAUAGUAUGUCCCCGUAGGCCAAUGCUGUGGUAAAGUGUGUAAAGUAUGACCAAGUGUUUCUUUCUGUUCAAUAGAUAGAACUUUAUCAAUCCCCUGUAGGAGAAAUGUGUUAAUGUUUGUCCCUAUAAAACAAUAAUGGUAAAAAAAUACAAAACAUGACGGUAACUCUAAAGUCAAACCGUCCAAUCUGAAGGCUCUACUACAGAACUGCGGACAGAACUGAGUGUGGAACUACUGGGCGUAGCCUAACUAGUUUGUGAACGACCAAGAGGAACGCAACGCAAAUACAAUGUGAACAUGUAUGAGGCUUUAAUAAAAUCCCGGACGACUUUGAAAUUCAGCCCGGACACAUUUUUUUUUUAAAAAGUGUCUCAAAAAGAGGGCAUGUCCUGGCAAAAGUGGACGUCUGGUCAACCUACGUAGGCCUACGGGGAACCCAUUUGAUUCCUACCUGUUCCACUGUUAAAUAGCGGCGCAAGUUGGUGGGUGCUAUCCUGGCAAUUUCUCUGAUUGAAAAAUACGAACUGUAGCGUGUGAGCGAGUGCAUUGUUUGAAUUGCGUGUGUCUCACGCCGAAUGCGUGAGACUUGAGAGCCCUGCUAAUGCAAUGUAGCCACAUCAAUUUUGGAUCAAAUCCCUCCAUAGGGGAUAGUCGUACCUCCACGCAUGUCCCAUAAAUCCCUGUUUCACAAGGCAGGACAAAUCGCUGUGUGUAUUUGCGGUGUGUGUUCCGAGGAUUUCCCCAUGGUACCGCGUUCCUGUUUCACAGUCUUGAAACGGGGUCAACGGAUUUGCAUCGGGCUGCUGAAAUAAGUUCACCUUGUGUAUCUGUCGACGUAGCUGGGCACACACCUGUAAAGCUCUAACAUUAGUGUGUGUAGCUUGUG